rnacentral:rRNA from 1 species
UCCGAAUGCCUAAGGUUUCCUGAGGAAGGCUCGUCCGCUCAGGGUUAGUCGGGACCUAAGCCGAGGCCGAAAGGCGUAGGCGAUGGACAACAGGUUGAUAUUCCUGUACCACCUCCUCACCAUUUGAGCAAUGGGGGGACGCAGGAGGAUAGGGUAAGCGCGGUAUUGGAUAUCCGCGUCCAAGCAGUUAGGCUGGGAAAUAGGCAAAUCCGUUUCCCAUAAGGCUGAGCUGUGAUGGCGAGCGAAAUAUAGUAGCGAAGUUCCUGAUUCCACACUGCCAAGAAAAGCCUCUAGCGAAGUGAGAGGUGCCCGUACCGCAAACCGACACAGGUAGGCGAGGAGAGAAUCCUAAGGUGAUCGAGAGAACUCUCGUUAAGGAACUCGGCAAAAUGACCCCGUAACUUCGGGAGAAGGGGUGCUCUGUUAGGGUGCAAGCCCGAGAGAGCCGCAGUGAAUAGGCCCAGGCGACUGUUUAGCAAAAACACAGGUCUCUGCGAAGCCGUAAGGCGAAGUAUAGGGGCUGACGCCUGCCCGGUGCUGGAAGGUUAAGAGGAGCGCUUAGCGUAAGCGAAGGUGCGAAUUGAAGCCCCAGUAAACGGCGGCCGUAACGAUAACGGUCCUAAGGUAGCGAAAUUCCUUGUCGGGUAAGUUCCGACCCGCACGAAAGGCGCAACGAUCUGGGCACUGUCUCAACGAGAGACUCGGUGAAAUUAUAGUACCUGUGAAGAUGCAGGUUACCCGCGACAGGACGGAAAGACCCCGUGGAGCUUUACUGCAGCCUGAUAUUGAAUGUUGGUACAGCUUGUACAGGAUAGGUAGGAGCCUUGGAAACCGGAGCGCCAGCUUCGGUGGAGGCAUCGGUGGGAUACUACCCUGGCUGUAUUGACCUUCUAACCCGCCGCCCUUAUCGGGCGGGGAGACAGUGUCAGGUGGGCAGUUUGACUGGGGCGGUCGCCUCCUAAAAGGUAACGGAGGCGCCCAAAGGUUCCCUCAGAAUGGUUGGAAAUCAUUCGCAGAGUGUAAAGGCACGUGGGAGCUUGACUGCGAGACCUACAAGUCGAGCAGGGACGAAAGUCGGGCUUAGUGAUCCGGUGGUUCCGCAUGGAAGGGCCAUCGCUCAACGGAUAAAAGCUACCCCGGGGAUAACAGGCUUAUCUCCCCCAAGAGUCCACAUCGACGGGGAGGUUUGGUACCUCGAUGUCGGCUCAUCGCAUCCUGGGGCUGUAGUCGGUCCCAAGGGUUGGGCUGUUCGCCCAUUAAAGCGGUACGCGAGCUGGGUUCAGAACGUCGUGAGACAGUUCGGUCCCUAUCCGUCGCGGGCGCAGGAAAUUUGAGAGGAGCUGUCCUUAGUACGAGAGGACCGGGAUGGACGCACCGCUGGUGUACCAGUUGUUCUGCCAAGGGCAUCGCUGGGUAGCUAUGUGCGGACGGGAUAAGUGCUGAAAGCAUCUAAGCAUGAAGCCCCCCUCAAGAUGAGAUUUCCCAUUCCGCAAGGAAGUAAGAUCCCUGAAAGAUGAUCAGGUUGAUAGGUCUGAGGUGGAAGUGUGGCGACACAUGGAGCUGACAGAUACUAAUCGAUCGAGGACUUAACC